UAUCUACCCUCCUCCUUCGUUCUUCCCCACCCCCACCCCUUUGGCCUCUUCUCUUCUUCUUCUUCUUCAGAUCCGCUCCCCCUUCGUUCUCCUCCCCUCUCUUCUUCUUCUUCUUCUUCUUCUUCAUAACCCCCUUCCUUUCCCUUUUCUUCAUCCCUUCUUCCUUUAGAUUUUUUUCUUGGUGUUCAUUUCUUUUUCCACCAUGUCAUCUUCUCCUUCUUUAUGGUUCCUUCAUUUUUUUCGGUAGUCUCAGCUUUCAAAUGUUUUCAUAAUCUUUUUAAAUUGGAGUAGAAGAAUAAGUCAAAAUUCAAAAGAAUUAAUUCUCUGCUAGUGUCUUUCCAAGAGGAUUUUUCAUGAAUAGAUAACUUUCUUUAUAAGAGGAUGCGGUGGUAAUUAUGGUGGAGAAGCUAUGGCAAGUUGCGUUAUUCUUAUAAAAAGGUUUAGUGGGUGGGCUUGAACAAGGGAGGAGGGGUUUUUCUUUAAUUUUAGUUUUUUGCUUUUCUUUUUUUAUUUUUUAUUUAUGAAAUUAAAUUUUGUUAAAUAAUAUAAUUUUGGCAUAAAAUUUGAUGUGGAUGCAGAUUUGUUAUUUACGUCAAGGAAGUGAGCAUCACAUGAAUUUGAAGGGAUUUAAAAGUCUUGUUUUGAUGAAGUUGAUGUAUCUAGAGAAAAUUUAUGAAAUUUAGAGACCAAGGUGACAAUCCGGAACAAGUACAAGUGUCUCUUAGGUCUUUCUGCCAAUAUAAAUUUCUAACACGACGGAGACCUACAGUACGUGUUAAGAUGACUAGUUGUGAUACAAAAUUAAGUCCAAGCGCCACCCUAGUGUUGUAACCGACAAAACGGGGCAACCAAAUGUAAUAAUCAACCUACUCAAAAAUCCUAAUGGGAACAUGGUUCUAUUAAAUUUUAAAAAAACAAUAGACUCCAUUAUCAUUAUGAGCCUAGUACAAAAAGCCAAAGAAAAAAAACUUGAAUUGAAUAUUAG
rnacentral:lncRNA from 1 species